rnacentral:rRNA from 1 species
UACAGGGGGUGCAAACGUUGCUCGGAAUCAUUGGGCGUAAAGCGUGCGUAGGUGGUUUGUUAAGUCUGAUGUGAAAGCCCCGGGCUCAACCUGGGAAUUGCAUUGGAUACUGGCGGGCUAGAGUGCGGUAGAGGGUAGUGGAAUUCCCGGUGUAGCAGUGAAAUGCGUAGAGAUCGGGAGGAACAUCUGUGGCGAAGGCGACUGCCUGGACCAGCACUGACACUGAGGCACGAAAGCGUGGGGAGCAAACAGG